rnacentral:pre_miRNA from 1 species
AAAAUACUCCCUCCGUCCAGAAAUACUUGUCCUAGAGAUGAAUGUAUCUAGACUUAUUUUAGUUAUAGAUACAUCCAUUAUAUCCAUUUCUAGGACAAGUAUUUCCGGACGGAGGAAGUAAAAG